GCCCGGAUGGCGGAAUCAGGUAGACGCAGCGGACUUAAAAUCCGCCGGCCUCGGCCGUGCCGGUUCGAAUCCGGCUCCGGGCACCA
rnacentral:tRNA from 1 species